CAAUUUCAUAGGCUUUUCUAUAAUAUAUAUAAGCAUCUGUAUGUAUAAAUUCAAGUCAUAAUUGUGAAAGCAAACCUCCCUUUUUCUUAAGCAGGCCUUGAGUUUCUACUUGAAAUGGAGGUAGAGGCUAUAGGGCAUGGAAAUUUUGAAGUGUACCUUACUGAAAAGAGCAUUGUUAAAGCUGUAAAUCACUUGCCAAAGCCUCAAAUACUAGCUCUAUCAAACCUUGACCUACUCUCUGGCCGUUUUCCGGUCACAUACUUCUAUUUCUAUCGGAAUCCUCAAGCUCUUAGCUUUCCCUCCAUCAUUGAGUCUCUAAAGAAGUCCCUUUCCGAAACACUCAGUUACUUCUAUCCCUUUGCUGGUCGAAUUGUUGAAAAUCCACUCAAUAGUGAGCCUGAGAUCAUAUGUGAUAAUAGUGGUGCUCUGGUUGUUGAAGGCCAUGCCAAUAUUUCUUUAAUGAAACUAAACUUCUACAAUCUUGAUCAAUCUUUGAAAGGGAAGCUAGUCUCAGUCAACCCUGAUUUUCCAUUGCAGGUUCAAGUUACGACUUACACUUGUGGUGGAAUCUCGCUAACAUUCACGUUCGACCAUGCACUUGGAGACGCAAGUGCCUUUGGUAAAUUCCUGCUCUCAUGGUGUGAAAUUGCUCAAAACAAGCCAUUAUCUUGCAUUCCUGACCACCAGAGAAACCUUCGUCCGCGUUGCCCUCCAACUUAUCACCCUUCAUUGGAUCGAAUUUUUGUCAAGUGCACCAUAGAAGAUAUACUAAACAUGUCAACAACCAACAUCAAGAUUAAGCGUCUUUAUCAUGUUGAUGUUUCCAGCAUCAGUAGGCUGCAACAUAUUGCCGGCACAAAUGACAACAAGAGAACAAAAAUUGAGGCUUUCUCAGCCUACAUAUGGAAGAUUAUGGCUACAACUAUUGACAAAAAGCACCCAAGAUGCAAGAUGGGAUGGUUAGUUGAUGGACGUGAUCGAAUGUGUGGAACUCACAGUUCAAUGUCAAAUUACAUAGGAAAUGUAUUGUCAUUGGCUGUUGGAGAGGCAACGGUUGCAGAACUCAAGCAAGGGUCUAUAUCAGAUAUUGCAACCAAUGUUCAUGAUGCGAUAUUAAAGGUUACUAAUGAGGAGCAUUUCUUGGACUUGAUUGAUUGGAUUGAGUGCCAUAGGCCUGGUUUGAUGCUUGCAAAUAUAGUGUUAGGCCAUGGGGGUCCAGCCCUAGUUGUGUCAUCAGGAAGGAGGUUUCCUGUCAGUGAACUGAACUUUGGAUUUGGAAGUCCUGUGCUAGGUACAGUCUGCUCCACCAUAGAAAAAAUUGGAGUCGCCUACAUGAAUCAAAGACCCAGUGCCCUUGGCGAUGGAUCAUGGACCGUGUCUGCCAUCAUAUGGCCAGAACUAGCUUCUGCCCUGGAGUCGGACAACAUUUUUGAACCUAUGUCAGAAAGUCGUCUUCAACUAUAACGUAUUAAAUGCAUAUAUCUCAACUUGUUUCCACUGGCCUAAUUAGAAAGACAGUGUUAAACAGUGGGGGCCAACAAGCAGUUCCAUGUAUAAUAUGUACCGAACAGCAUCUAGUAAAUGCUGAAUUAUGCAUUCUGUAGCAAGUUUGAACAAGGAAUAAGUUUUUCUUCCAUAAAAACAAUGCAAACUCAGUUAACCUAUUUUCCACUUGCUCAGUCUAACAUUUCACAUACAUACCCUCUUAGGCCAACGCCUCUACCAACAUAGCCUCUUCAAUUCAGUCCAAUUUCAAAUUCAAUCAGCUCAAAAAAUCAUUGAUGCCACAAUUUAAAACAAAAUCAUGAAAAAGAACUAUUAUUUGAAGGUAGAGUGCUAGUCACUGUCCAACAUUAAUUACAGAGAAUGAACAAGUCAAUCUAACUGUGAUGCAGAGACUCGGUGAGAGUGAAAGAAAGAUGAAAAUUGAGAGAAUUAAGAAUAGAGAAAACAAAAAAGAAUAGGAAAAGAGCAUUUCAAUUCAGUUAGAGCCUAGAUCAUACAAUAUAACACUCUCAUUAUAUGGUUCAUAUCUACUGAAAGCAUGUGACCAAUCUAUCCAAAUAACAAACUUCCAACUGGCAACUCCCAAAAAGACCCACAUCAUAAGGCAGAUAUAUAAUGAUGAAGCAGAUAGCUAAUAGAUCUUACCUUGAUUGUGGUCAAGUCUUGAUAUCUUUUGUAGUCCAUUAAACUAGCACACUGGGAUCUUGGGCAUAGGGCUUUACUCCAGAAGUAGUUCAGAAGAUGAACAUGUUAGAUUUCUGUCUUGAAUGUACAUGCCUGGAAGUUAAACAAACCUCUCCGCAUUUAGUACCAUGCACUAAUGCGGCUUAGAAAGUCGUUCAUAUCAAUGAAAAAUUCAGUAAAAAAGUAUAACCAUCUCCACUUUUAUUAUCAUCCACACCACAUGUUAUUAUUUCAUUAACAAAGGACUACUUAUUACAUGGAAGAUAUCAACUUCUGCUUUGAGGGAGGGGAGGAGAAGUCUUCCGAAUAUCAACAUGCUUAACAUUAGAGUCCUUCAGCCAAGAACACAAGGAUAUGCAGCUCAAUUAAGCUCGUCACUUCAUCACUAAAUAACUUCAACAAUUUGUUACACACUUGCACUACACUCAUUGAAGCUGUCACCUCAGUUGCCAUAAGCAAAAAGAUUACUUCCCAACAUAAACAUCAUGGCAAAACAAAUGGAUUUCAUUCUUCAUUGCUUACAGUAAAAUAUCAUAAAAGCAAACUAACUAGGGACUACAAGCAGCAGCUUCCAGGAUGCGGUUCCUCACUCUUCAUAUUGCACUAUAUCUGAGGUAGCAUCCAAAAUCAUAGAACCUGGUGUUGAAAAGCACCUAUAGCCUCCCAAGUUACCAGAUGGUAGUGUUGGCAUCUCAAGAGCUUUGAAUUUGAAAACCUUUUACGAGCCUCCAACAAGAGGAAAACCAUCCUCUUCACUUUUAGCAUGAAAGACAUCUGAUCAAUAAAUGAGAAAUUUUUCCUUCACCGCAAAGACCAAGGAUGCAUGCAUGGGUCUAAUUUCAUUCCAAGAAUGCAGCUUAAGCUUGCAGAUGCAGCGAACCAAUGCUGCCCUAUAGGAAGUACUCCUCUGAAACUCAAUGGUAGUACUUGAAUUUAAAAGACAAGAUGGGCGAAUACUCUCCAUAAUAAACGAUCAGCUUUCAUUUUAUUUAAAUAAGCUGCUGAAAUCUGUACUCAUUUCAGAGAUAGAAAAUACCAUGUAGAAAAAGCAUCCAACUUUUUGAGAGAUUCUAAUCAUUCUUGAUUUGUGACUGCAGAUGGCUUGUGCCACCCAUCAAUCAAUGUAGUAUAUGUAAUUUCAUCUAAAGACACUCCUCUGGAGGACAUUUGAUCACAUACUUUAAAAGCUUCCUCUACCCUCCCUACCUUAGAAAACCCAUUUGUAAGGGUAUUGUAGGUGACAGCAUCUGGGACAAUUCCCUUUUCAGUCAUCUCUCCCAAAAGCUUAGAAGCUUCUUUCAUAUUUCCCAAUUUGCAAUGCCCAUCUAUCAUGAUGGUAUAGGUAAUUUUAUUAGGAUGUAUGUUAUGUAAAGACAUUUCCUGCACGAUACUAUCAACUUUAUCCAUCUGCCCUAGCCUACAAUAACCACCAAUAAGUGCAGUAUAGCAGAAAAUAUUUGGCGAUAAACCCUCCUUCCUCAUCUCAUCAAGAAGGUCAUUUGCAUUAUCAACAAGGCCGAUAUUGCAGAGUCCAUGUACAAGGGAAGAAUAUGUCGCAGAAGUUAAGGGGAUGCCUCUACUUCUCAUGUCAUGACGAAGUCUGAAAGCUUCAACCAUAUUCCCACAUUUACAAUAUGCUCUGAUUAGAGUAUUAUAAACAACAGAAUUUAAUGCUAUUUUCAUAGUAACCAUCUCUCUGAACAGUUUUUCACCCUCUUCAACUUUGUUGGCUUUGCAGUAUCCAUCUAUCAUUACCCCAUAUGUGUAAACAUUAGGAACAUGACCAUUUCUUUGGCAUUCAGCCCAAAGCAUACCAGCUUCUUCUAUUUUGCCCUUAUUACAAAGCCCAUGUAGUAGCAGAUUGUAAGUAUAUAGGUCCGGCUGCAUUCCUUGUUUUACCAUCUCUUCCUUAAGUUUAAAACCUUCCUCAAGUUUGCCUUCCUUGCAACACCCCAAUAUGAGGGUAUUAUAUGAAAUUUUAUCCAAUAUCAUACCCCUCUCUAGCAUCUCCUUAAGAAGCUUGGCAGCUUCUUGCAUGUUACCUGAUUCACAAAGCCCAUAUAAAAGAGCAUUUGAGGUCACUACAUUGGCUGCAAAACCUUUUUCCAAUAGCCUAAACCAAAGUUCAAUGGCAUCUGAUUGCUUACCAUUCUUGCAUAGUCUGGAAACCAAUGUGGUCAGCAAACCAUCAUUAGGCUUUAUAUUUCUUAAUAGCAUCUCCCUAGUAAACCUUAGAGCAGAAUCAAACCUAGACUUCAAACAUAACCCAUGAAUAACUGAAGUAAAUACACCCUGGUUUAUUACUAAACCUCUUGACAGCAUUUCCUCCAAAACAUGCUCAGCAUUUUCCAUUUGAUUACUCUUGCAAAAGCCUUGUAUAAUUGAAUUGAAAGUAACUGAAUUGGGACUUAUUCCCUUGGAUACCAUAUCAUCUCUUAUUGGUAGUGCCUCAGCCAUAUGACCCAUCCUACAAUAUCCAUCAAUCAAUGUGUUAUACAAAACUAUAUUUGGCAUAAAACCUCUGUCAGUCAUUUCCUUCAAAAUACAGUUAGCUUCAUCAAAUCUCUCCAACUUAACCAAACCAUUAAUGAGAAUGCUAUAAGUUAUAAGACUCAAGUUCACUCCCUCCCUUACCAUCUUUUCUUUAAACUGAAAUGCCUCAUCUAAUCUUCCGUUCUUGCACAAACCAUGUAUAAUAUUAUUAUAGGCAACAACAUUCGGAGCAACACCUAUUUUUUCCAUUUUAAGGAACAACCCAAUGGCAUCCUCCACCCUGCCUCCCAUGAAAAAGGAAUUAAUCAUGGUACUCAACAAGUAAACAUCCAGAGUGACACCACCACGACACAUCAUAUCAAACACCUCAUAGCUCUUCUUCAACUCAUUAGCUUUCACUAAAGAACUCAACAAAAAAUUACAAGUCUUCAAAGAUGGAAACAAACCCUUACCCGCCAUUAUACUAAACACAUCAACAGCAACACCAAAACCCAGAUUUUUAAAUUGCGUACUAUAAACAUGAAUCAAUAAAUCAACUACUCUAACUGAAAUGGCCAGCUCAAACCGCGAAUUCAGUUCUGCAAUUGUCAUAGCGAUCUCAGUAUGUCUCUUCUGAAAAUCGUCGGCAUACAAAACUGGCAGUUUCCCAUCAAUCAAACGAAUGAGAAGUAAUCUCGCAGGUGAUAAAAUAUUGGAAGAAACCAGCAAUCGAAUCAAAAGGCAAUAAGAACGUACGGUGAAACGAAACUUACAAGUAUCAGAUGCAAAGUGAAAGAAGUGUAAAGCAGUUCUGGGAUUCACAUUCGAUCCAAUGGCAAGGAAACAACGAUCGAACUCGUGAGGACACAAAUGAGGCAGGAGUUGUCUACAUUUAGAAGAAUCAAAAGACGAAUUAGAGAGAAUAGAAAAUACCCACUUAACUAAACUCUGAUUUGAAGCUCGUUGUUGGGUCUGGGAAUGCAAUGGAGGUUCUUGAGGAUGCGUUUGAGGUGGUUGUUCGAUUGAGGACGUCACAAAGGUCAAGGGACGAGUUAUGGGAUGAAAAACAAAGGUGGGUUUGAUGACAGAAAGCCUUCUCAAAUCCAUUAAAGAUCGAAUACACAGAGGAAAAAGCGAAGUGGCUUAUUUAUGGGAACUUUAGCAUAUAGAAGAGGUUCAAAGCGCAAGAGAAGAUGCCAUCAACACUCGUUGAUUCGUUGAGAGAAGGAGAAAGACACCAGAGACCAAAAGGGUGAAAACUGCUUGUGAAGAGGAGAGUGGAAGCUUGUUUCAGUUUUCACCAAGAGUUCCGUUAGGCUGCCAUGGAUGAUUGGCUUAUGCCGCCAGAGCGCAAAAGGGUGAAAACUGAAAAACGAGGGUUAAGGGACGCACGGAGAAGCAAUAGAUGUUGGGCCCAGAAUUUGGUGAUGCAUUCUCACUUGCUGGCUGGGCCUAAAUCUGUUUAAAGGUAUAAAGACCCAUUUGGUUUAGCCUAUUGAAGAAUUGCUUUUUCUUUUUUCCCGGAAGAGGAUUGGGAUAACGGGACAGGAAUUUGGAUCUGCUAAAUAUUUGAUGCUGCUCGUCCCACCAAGCUUGCUCAAAGGGCGAUUGCUCAGAGGGUGCUCGUCGCACGGCGAC
rnacentral:misc_RNA from 1 species